rnacentral:misc_RNA from 1 species
GAUGAAGAACGCAGCGAAAUGCGAUAAGUAAUGUGAAUUGCAGAAUUCAGUGAAUCAUCGAAUCUUUGAACGCACCUUGCGCCCUUUGGCCAUUCCGAAGGGCAUGCCUGUUUGAGUAUCAUGAACACCUCAACUCUUCAUGGUUUUCCGUGAUGAGCUUGGACUUUGGGGGUCUUGCUGGCCUAUGGUCAGCUCCUCUAAAAUAAAUCAGCUUGCCAGUGUUUGGUGGGUAUCACAGGUGUGAUAACUAUCUACGCUUGUGGUUUUCCACCAGGUAACCUUCAGCAGUGGAGGUUCGCUGGAGCUCAUAGAUGUCUCUCCUCAGUGAGGACAGCCCUUUGAAUGUUUGAUCUCAAAUCAGGUAGGACUACCCGCUGAACUUAAGCAUAUCAAUAAGCGGAGGA